rnacentral:rRNA from 1 species
CCUACGGGUGGCAGCAGUGAGGAAUAUUGGUCAAUGGGCGGAAGCCUGAACCAGCCAAGUAGCGUGCGGGAUGAAGGCCCUACGGGUCGUAAACCGCUUUUGCACGGGGAUAACACCCUACACUUGUGGAGGUCUGCAGGUACCGUGCGAAUAAGUGCCGGCUAAUUCCGUGCCAGCAGCCGCGGUAACACGGAAGGCCCGAGCUUUGUCCGGUUUCAUUGGGCUAAAAGGGGGCAUAGGCGGGCGUUCAAGUCAGCUGUAAAAUCGCGCGGCUCAACCGCGCCCCGCAGUUGAAACUGGACUCCUUGAGUUCGCAACAGGCAUGCGGAAUUCGUGGUGUAGCGGUGAAAUGCAUAGAUAUCACGAGGAACCCCGAUUGCGAAGGCAGCCUGCCGGGGUGCGACUGACGCUGAGGCUCGAAGGUGCGGGUAUCAAACAGGAUUAGAUACCCCUGUAGUC